UCCUACGGGAGGCAGCAGUGGGGAAUCUUAGACAAUGGGGGAAACCCUGAUCUAGCCAUGCCGCGUGAGUGACGAGGGCCUUAGGGUCGUAAAGCUCUUUCGCCUGUGAAGAUAAUGACGGUAGCAGGUAAAGAAACCCCGGCUAACUCCGUGCCAGCAGCCGCGGUAAUACGGAGGGGGUUAGCGUUGUUCGGAAUUACUGGGCGUAAAGCGCACGUAGGUGGAUCAGAAAGUUGGGGGUGAAUCCCGGGGCUCAACCCCGGAACUGCCUCCAAUACUGCAUGUCUUGAGGACGUGAGAGGAGAGUGGAAUUCCCAGUGUAGCGGUGGAAUGCGCAGAUAUCGGGAGGAACACCAGCGGCGAAGGCGGCUCUCUGGGCCUCUCCUGACGCUGAGAUGCGAAAGCUGUGGUAGCGAACAGGAUUAGAUACCCUGGUAGUCCACACCGUAAACGAUGGGUGCUAGGUGUGGGGAUCAGUACCCUAUCUCGUGUCGAACCUAACGGGUUAAGCACUCCGCCUGGGGACUACGCACGCAAGCUUAAAACUCAAAGGAAUUGACGGA
rnacentral:rRNA from 1 species